CGAACACGGAAGAGCCCAAACCCAUGUCGUCUAGGCGACACGGGGGUUGUAGGACCACGACGUGGCAAGAUAGAGUCAAGUGGAACGCCUUGGAAAAGGCGACCGUAGAGGGUGAUAGUCCCGUACACGACUGACGAUUGAAGCCUAGUGGUAUCCUGAGUAGCGCGGGGCACGAGAAAUCUUGCGUGAAACAGCGGGGCCCAUCCCGUAAGGCUAAAUACUCCCGAGAGACCGAUAGCGAACCAGUACCGUGAGGGAAAGGUGAAAAGAACCCCGAGCAGGGGAGUGAAAUAGACCCUGAACCCGUCUGCCUACAAGCGGUCGGAGCGUUGUUAUGACGUGACGGCGUGCCUUUUGCAUAAUGAACCUACGAGUUACCUUCCCCGGCAAGGUUAAGUACCUAAGGUACGGAGCCGAAGCGAAAGCGAGUCUGAACAGGGCGGCCAGUCGGGGGGGGUAGACGCGAAACCGAGUGAUCUACCCUUGGCCAGGUUGAAGGUUGGGUAACACCAACUGGAGGACCGGAUGGGUAAGCGUUGAAAAGCUUUCCAAUGAGCUGAGGGUAGGGGUGAAAGGCUAAUCAAACUCGGAGAUAGCUCGUACUCCCCGAAAUGCAUUUAGGUGCAGCCUCUUUAUAGUAUAUCGUGAGGUAGAGCGACUGAUUGGAUGCGAGGGCUUCACCGCCUAUCAAGUCCAGAUAAACUCCGAAUGCGCGAUAUAUAUUUAAAGGGAGUGAGGGCGCGGGUGCUAAGGUCCGUGUCCGAGAGGAGAAGAAUCCAGACCACCGGCUAAGGCCCCCAAAUGAUCGUUAAGUUGAACUAACGAGGUCGGAUCGCAGAGACAGCUAGGAUGUUGGCUUGGAAGCAGCCAUUCAUUUAAAGAGUGCGUAACAGCUCACUAGUCGAGCGAUCUGGCGUGGAUAAUAAUCGGGCAUAAACGAUCUGCCGAAGCCGUGGAUGUCGCAAGACAUGGUAGGGGAGCAUUCCAUGCCGCGUCGAAGAUGAGGGAUGACCCUUGUUGGAGCGCAUGGAAAAGCAAAUGUAGGUAUGAGUAACGAUAAGGGGGGCGAGAAACCCCCCCGCCGAAAGACCAAGGUUUCCUGAUCAACGCUAAUCGGAUCAGGGUGAGUCGGGACCUAAGGCUAAGCCGAACGGCGACGCCGAUGGAAGAAUGGGUUAAUAUUCCCAUACUGCCUCAUGGAGUGACGUGGAGACGGAGAAGUGACAGUCCUGCCGGCUGACGGAAUAGCCGGUUGAAGGGUGUAGAUAUUGAUUCCCGUAGGCAAAUCCGCGGGGAGAGUCGAACCUGACAGUAUACGGAGCGCUUGCGCGACGUAAUAUGGACGUAACCAUGCUCCCGAGAAAAUCCGCUAAACUUAUCCAUGCGGCACCCGUACCGUAAACGGACACACGUGGUCGGGUUGAGAAUACUGAGGCGCUCGAGUGAUUCACGGUUAAGGAACUAGGCAAAUUGACCCUGUAACUUCGGGAUAAAGGGUCCUCGUCGUAAGGCGAGGCGCAGAGAAUAGGUCCAGGCAACUGUUUAACAAAAACACAUGGCUGUGCUAAAUGGAAACAUGAUGUAUACAGCCUGACACCUGCCCGGUGCUGGAAGGUUAAGAGGAGAUGUCAUCGCGAGAGAAGCGUUGAAUUGAAGCCCCAGUAAACGGCGGCCGUAACUAUAACGGUCCUAAGGUAGCGAAAUUCCUUGUCGGGUAAGUUC
rnacentral:rRNA from 1 species